UACGUAGGGAGCAAGCGUUGUCCGGAAUCAUUGGGCGUAAAGCGCGCGUAGGUGGCCUCAUAAGUCCGCUGUGAAAGUCAAAGGCUCAACCUUUGAAAGCCGGUGGAUACUGUGAGGCUAGAGUACGGAAGAGGCGAGUGGAAUUCUCGGUGUAGCGGUGAAAUGCGUAGAUAUCAGGAGGAACACCAAUUGCGAAGGCAGCUCGCUGGGACGUGACUGACGCUGAGACGCGAAAGCGUGGGGAGCAAACAGG
rnacentral:rRNA from 1 species